GGCCUCCUGUCUCAUCAAGGGCAGCUUUGCAGUUCUCCGAACUGUAGGCUCUAUAGGCUAAGAUGCAGGUUGGGAGGCAAGACACAGCUGUUCAAGCCCAGGCCAAGGGCUAGUCUCAGCCUGGUUAUCUGUAAAGCAAGAUUAUAACGUGCUCCUGGGACACCCGACAGAUGUUUUUUGGAACUGGCAUAGAGCUCUUCGUGGAGCCUCGAAUUCAGCCUCCUUCCAAACCAUCUGUUUUCAUUAUGAAAAAUGGAACGAAUGUUGCUUGUCUGGUGAAGGAUUUUUACCCCAAGGACGUGACUAUAAGCCUCAGGUCAUCCGAGAAGAUAGCAGAAUUCGACCCCGCCAUCGUCAUCUCCCCCAGUGGGAAGUACAGUGCCGUCAAGCUUGGUCAAUAUGGAGAUUCAAAUUCAGUGACGUGUUCUGUUGAGCACAACAGCGAAACUGUGCACUCAACUGACUUUGACAACAGCAAAACUGACUUUGAACCGUAUACAGAGUCUCCCGCGUCUGUUUCAUCAGAACCUGAAAAUACCAUGCAAACUUCAGAGACUUGCCAUGGACCAACAGUUCACACCAAGAAGGUAAAUAUGGUGUCCCUCACAGUGCUGGGACUACGGUUGCUGUUUGCCAAGAGUGUUGCCAUCAAUUUUCUCUUGACUGCCAAGUUAUUCUUCUUUUAAGGUGGGAUGGCAUGAGGAAUCUACAGUUCCUGAAAGAAAUCAAAAGCUUACAAAGAUGCUAUACCCAAGGCUUCUAACUUCUUAGUGCUUCGAACUGACCCAUCACCACCACAUUUAAAUAGCUGCUAACAAAACCAGCUUUUCUGUGAAGGCAACAAGCCUAGCUAAUCCUCCAAUCUAGCAAAAAACAAAAAGCUCUGGGGAGUGGGGUUUGUGGGCCUGGCUUUACGCACUGAUUUAUAA